rnacentral:lncRNA from 1 species
GGGGCCUUUGGGGUCCCUAUGGGUUGCUGUGGGUCCCUAUGUGUCCCUAUGGGUCUCUAUCGGUCCCUAUGGGUCUCUAUGGGUCGCUAUGUGUCACUGUGGGUCUCUAUGGGUCUCUAUGGGUCUCUGUGGGUUGCUGUGGGUCCCUAUGGGUCCCUAUGGAUCUCUAUGGGUCCCUAUGGGUCGCUGUGGGUCCCUAUGGGUCCCUAUGGGUCGCUGUGGGUUCCUAUGGGUCUCUAUGGGUCUCUAUGGGUCGCUGUGGGUCGCUAUGGGUCGCUGUGGGUCGCUGUGGGUCUCUGUGGGUCUCUGUGGGUCGCUGUGGGUCUCUGUGGGUCGCUGUGGGUCGCUGUGGGUCCCUAUGGUCGCUGUGGGUCCCUAUGGGUCCCUAUGGGUCCCUAUGGGUCGCUGUGGGUCCCUAUGGGUCGCUGUGGGUCGCUGUGGGUCCCUAUGGGUCCCUAUGGGUCGCUGUGGGUCGCUGUGGGUCCCCAUGGCGCUGCCUCCCCCGCAGACAAGGAGCAGACGAAGCUGAAAGGCGUCAUUUACUUCCAGGCCAUUGAAGAGGUUUAUUACGACCACGGGCGCACGGCCUGCAAGGUGUGGGGCUGGGGUGGAUCCGUGGGGCUGGGGUGGAUCUGUGGGGCUGGGUUUGGGAUCUGUGGGGCUGGGGUGGAUCCGUGGGGCUGGGGUGGAUCCGUGGGGCUGGGGUGGAUCUAUGGGGCUGGGUUUGGGAUCUAUGGGUCCAGCUGUGGAUCUAUGGGGCCGGCCAUGGAUCUAUGGGGCUGGCUGUGGAUCUAUGGGGCUGGCUAUGGGUCCGGCUGUGGAUCUAUGGGGCCGUCUAUGGGUCCGGCCGUGGAUCUAUGGGUCCAGCUAUGGGUCCGGCUAUGGAUCUAUGGGUCCGGCUAUGGGUCCGGCCGUGGAUCUAUGGGUCCGGCUAUGGGUCCGGCUAUGGGUCCGGCCGUGGAUCUAUGGGUCCGGCUAUGGAUUUAUGGGUCCGGCCGUGGAUCUAUGGGUCCGGCUAUGGAUCUAUGGGUCUGGCUAUGGGUCCGGCCGUGGAUCUAUGGGUCCGGCUAUGGGUCCGGCUAUGGAUCUAUGGGUCCGGCUAUGGAUAUAUGGGUCCGGCUAUGGGUCUGGCUAUGGGUCCGGCGAUGGAUCUAUGGGUCCAGCCGUGGAUCUAUGGGUCCGGCUAUGGGUCCGGCUAUGGGUCCGGCCGUGGAUCUAUGGGUCCGGCCGUGGAUCUAUGGGUCCAGCUAUGGGUCCGGCUAUGGAUCUAUGGGUCCGGCCGUGGAUCUAUGGGUCUGGCUAUGGGGCCGGCUA